GCCUGGCUAGCUCAGUCGGUAGAGCAUGAGACUCUUAAUCUCAGAGUCGGGGGUUCGAGCCCCCCGUUGGGCG
rnacentral:tRNA from 1 species